rnacentral:misc_RNA from 1 species
ACAAAACAAAAGUACGUAUUGAACUUUCAGCCGGCACUUGGCGCGGCUUCGCCGGCUUGGAAACACUAACCAAAAAAUAGAAGAUUGUGUUUUAAGUAUUUUAUAAUUUUUGGAGAUUCAUUACAAAACUGUUUUCUGUACGUUACAUUUCAAGAAGGUUAUAUAUUAAAAAUGUCCAAACGGCCAUAUUUUUCACAAUAUGAAAGUCCGAAUAUUGUUAUCGUGCCUACAGUUUCAUUUUGUGGUGCAUCAGCGAAGAAAAAAAUGAAAUUAUCUCUCCAUGUUGACGAAGUACAACCCAAAAAUGGCCGGACAUUGGAAAAAGGCACCUGCAGCUCAAGUACAUUGGAAAAUAAUUGUUCAUCGAGUAAGAAUACAAAUAGCUCAAACAUUAGUAUGGCGACAAAUAACAAUAUAAACAUCAUCCACGCAAAUCCUAUAAAGCUUAACCGACUAACACAAGAUAGCAAGCCCAGUGACAAAAUAUCGAAGUUGUCCGAAAGCAAUGAAAAGUCUUCAAUGCGUGAAGAAAAUAAUAAACAAAAUAAUCUAGUUGAAAAAGAAAACAAAAAACAUAUUUCGCAAUCCUCCAUUGAGGUAGAAAUAAAUUUAGAUUCAAAAGCACAUAAGGAUAUUGCAAACACCAAAAAAAAUUCGCUCAAAACCACAAACAAAAACUCGGGUAAUUCUACAAAUAAAAAGAAAUGCAAUAACGAGGGGACUCGUCUAAAAAGUGCUGAGAAUAUUUCAUCCUCGCAUAAAGACAAAAAACACAGCAAGCCUGAUAAAAUUAGUGCUCACAAAACGUCACACGUUUCACUUCACAUUACUAAAGAAAUAUCCGAAAAAUGUGAUAAAAAUACGGAUUCUAAAAUAAGUAAGAAUAGACAUAAACAGUCCGACAAACUUAUAAAACAAGAUAGUCAUGAUCAAUGUAGGGCAGAACAACAAAAAUGUAAAAAAUCAUGUCAAGAUAAAAUUCCCCAUAAAUCGAGAAGUGAAAAAAUGGACCUUGGUAAGACAAUAUUAAUGGACGACAUUAAUAUUAAUUACGGCUCCAAUAGAAAUGAACCAAAGCAGCAGGGUUGCAAAAAAGAUCAUGCAAGUAAAUGCAAACAUAUAAUUGAAAGACACAGUGAUAAAAAAGUUAAGCAUCAUUCGAUAUCUAAAAGCAAACACACAUGUAAAACUAAAAGUACUUUAACUAACCAGGAAAAGUGCAAAAUACAAAAAGCAAGCGAGGCAACCAAAUAUAACACUAAUAGUAUCAUUAGUAAGAAAUGUCCCAGCAAUGAUCGGGAUAAAAGUAAAAAACAUAGCUCUACUAAUAAAGCCGCGAAUAACAAAACACAUAAAUUAAAAUCUUCAAGAAGUGACAGCGACAAUAAAAAUAAGAAACAAAUCCGCGCUAUGACUUCUUCAAAUCCUAGCCAUAAGGAUUCACUCAUCGACUCAUACGAAAAUUUGACGGUAACUGUUAAAACACAAAGCGAAAAACAUAAAAAUGCAGCACCGCCUAAAACAAAUGUAGUGAACAAAACCCACAAAUCAAAAAAGAUAAAACUAAUUAUUAAUUUUAUAGUCAAAAAUUCAAAUAAUGCGUCCCCGACUCAUGACGAAAGUUGUACAAAAAAAGAAGACAAUAUAUCGUUAAUAUCAAAUUCCGAGUUAAGUUUCCUCGAUGACAUAAACAUUGACGAAAUUGUCGACAGUUUAAAACAACCUAAACGUGAACCAGGUACCAAGGAGCAAGACUCGACGAAUCUCAAUAGGUCCCUGGAGGGACCAGUUAUUGUUGUUGACGACGACUCUGAUGUAGAAAAUGAUACUGUUUACAAGAAAAAUAAUGGACUUGAGAAUAGUGAGGCCCUAGUAAAGGUUUUGGAAGAUGAUAAAUUAAAAGACAUAAAACCUAUUAUAGGCAACAUUUUGACAACACAUUUCAGUAAUAAUUAUAUCGAUUUAUCAAAGGAAAGGUAAUUCAUAUAAGAUUUUUUUUUCGUUAUGCAUUACAGGGGAACUAAAUACUUAUCUUUUUUUCCAGCAACCCAAAUCCUUCUACUAAUAAUACUUUAAUAUUACCGGUAGAAAAUAUUACUAAUCGCGAGAUAAUUGACUCGCAAAUGGAUAUCGAAGAAUGUAACGGUAUUCCGGAAAACAAAACGAAUUCCACGCAAAGUGCAGUUUAUAAUACACCAACAGAAACAAAAGCCCAAAAUAUUGAAUGUACAGAACAAAUAAGCAAAAUAGUUUCAGUUAAUGGAACCGAAAGCACUGAAAUAUUUAAAGAUCCCAUCGAGGCACAGCUGAAGAGGAUAUUUGAAAUGCCUUCUUCGGAUACAUUUGAUACUGAGGUUGACAACAAUAUUAGAGAAAAUGAUAGAGAAACCGAAAUCACCUGUAAAAAAGAGCCAGAACUAAUAACAUCUUCACCUCAGAACCAAGAGCAAUGUCCCAUAGUAUAUAAAGAUCGUGGUUCUCCAAAUAACGCACCUAAUGACAUUGAACCUUCUACAAUUAAAGAAAUAAGGGAAAUAAAUAAACCCGUUAAUAUAAACGCUACAGUUGUACACUGUCAAGAACCUAAUAUUGACAAUAAUUUCAGUAUAAAUGUAGAUGGUGCUAAAGAAACCGAAAUCACUUGCAAAGAAGAACCACAGGAAAUAACAGCGUUACCUCAGAACGAAGAUCAAAAUUCCGUAGGACACAAUUAUUGUGGAUCUCCAGAUAACACGAAGAAUGAUGAUGUUGCAUGUUCUACAUUGCAAGAUACAAGCUAUAUUGUAAAUACACCCAUUAGAAUGAACGCUACAGAUUCAGAAAAUCAAAAACCUAAUAUCGAUAAUACUAUGAGCAAAAAUGUAGAUAGUGUUAAAGAAACCGAAAUCACUUGCGAAGAGAAACCAGAAGAAAUAGCAUCGUUAUCUCAGAACGAAGAGCAACAUCCCAUAGAACACAAAGAUUCUGGACUUUUAGAUAACACAAA